rnacentral:rRNA from 1 species
AUUGAACGCUAGCGGGAUGCCUUACACAUGCAAGUCGAACGAGUGGCGAACGGGUGAGUAACGUAUCGGUACGUGCCCAGUAGCGGGGGAUAACUACUGGAAACGGUAGCUAAUACCGCAUACUAUCGGAUGUGCCUAGAUGGGAUUAGCUAGUAGGUGGGGUAAUGGCUCACCUAGGCGACGAUCCCUAGCUGGUCUGAGAGGAUGACCAGCCACACUGGAACUGAGACACAGUCCAGACUCCUACGGGAGGCAGCAGUGGGGAAUAUUGCACAAUGGGCGCAAGCCUGAUGCAGCCAUGCCGCGUGUAUGAAGAAGGCCUUCGGGUUGUAAAGUACUUUCAGCGAGGAGGCGUUACUCGCAGAAGAAGCACCGGCUAACUCCGUGCCAGCAGCCGCGGUAAUUC